GCCGUCUUAGCUCAAUUGGUAGAGCAUCUGAUUUGUAAUCAGCAGGUUAUCGGUUCGAGUCCUAUAGGCGGCU
rnacentral:tRNA from 1 species